AGAGAGAGACAUGCGCGCAUAUCAAUAAGCGGAGGAAAAGAAACUAACUAGGAUUCCCUCAGUAACGGCGAGUGAAGCGGGAAGAGCUCAAAUUUGAAAUCUUAAAGGUUUCCCUUGACGAAUUGUAGUUUAAAGAAGUGUUUUCUGUUGAGGUUUUGGUAAAAGUUCUUUGGAAUAGGACAUCAUAGAGGGUGAGAAUCCCGUAUUUGACCAUUACUUUCAGCUUUGUGAUACACUUUCAAAGAGUCGGAUUGUUUGGGAAUGCAGUCCAAAAUGGGUGGUAAAUUUCAUCUAAAGCUAAAUAUUGGCGAGAGACCGAUAGCGAACAAGUACCGUGAGGGAAAGAUGAAAAGAACUUUGAAAAGAGAGUUAAACAGUACGUGAAAUUGUCAAAAGGGAAGCGUUUGACACCAGUGUUGUUUUCUCGAAAAUCAAUUAAAGAACUGUUUAUGCUAAGUUGUUUAGACUUUAUCAGCUAUCUGUUUAGUUUUGAGCUUUUCUUUAAUGCACUUUUCAGUUAACAAGUCAACAUCAAUUUCUUUUGCUGUAAAAAAGCUUGAGGAAGGUGGCUUGAGAUUCGUCUUAAGUGUUUAUAGCCUCUUGCCUCUGCAGUCGGAGAGAUUGAGGUCUGCAGCGUAGAUCCUUCGGGGUUAAAUAGCAUUUGUGCUAAGUUAUAGCCUUUCAUAGACAACUUGUUGACUAUGAUCAGUCAUGUAGCUUACUCGCUUAUGCUAUUUUACCUACGCUUAGGAUGUUGAUGUGAUACUGCGAGCA
rnacentral:rRNA from 1 species